GUAGACAUAGUUUAACGAAAACAUUAGAUUGUGAUUCUAAAGAAAGGGGUUAAACCCCCCUUGUCCACC
rnacentral:tRNA from 1 species